GACAGAGGGUGCAAACGUUGUUCGGAAUUACUGGGCGUAAAGCGCGUGUAGGCGGCAAGGCAAGUCGGGUGUGAAAGCCCUGGGCUCAACCCAGGAAGUGCAUUCGAUACUGCCAAGCUAGAGUCCCGGAGAGGAUGGUGGAACUCUCGGUGUAGAGGUGAAAUUCGUAGAUAUCAGGAGGAACACCGGUGGCGAAGGCGGGUCUCUGGGCCGAUACUGACGCUGAGGAGCGAAAGCGUGGGGAGCGAACAGG
rnacentral:rRNA from 1 species